GAUGAAGAACGUAGCGAAAUGCGAUAAGUAAUGUGAAUUGCAGAAUUCAGUGAAUCAUCGAAUCUUUGAACGCAUCUUGCGCUCCUUGGUAUUCCUUGGAGCAUGCCUGUUUGAGUAUCAUGAGCAAAUCUCAAAGUCAAUUCCUUUUGUUAAUUCAAUUGGUUUUGCUUUGGACUUGGAGGUCUUGCAGAUUUUCACAGUCUGCUCCUCUUAAAUGCAUUAGCUGGAUCUCAGUAAUUAUGCUUGGUUCCACUCGGCGUGAUAAGUAUCACUCGCUGAGGACACUGUUAAAAAGGUGGCCAGGAAAAUACUGAUUGAACCGCUUCUAACGGUCUAUUAAGUUAGACAAUUACCCUUAAGUUUGAUCUCAAAUCAGGUAGGACUACCCGCUAAACUUAAGCAUAUCAAUAAGCGGAGGA
rnacentral:misc_RNA from 1 species